rnacentral:rRNA from 1 species
CCUACGGGUGGCUGCAGUGGGGAAUAUUGCACAAUGGGCGCAAGCCUGAUGCAGCCAUGCCGCGUGUGUGAAGAAGGCCUUCGGGUUGUAAAGCACUUUCAGCGGGGAGGAAGGCGUUAAGGUUAAUAACCUUGGCGAUUGACGUUACCCGCAGAAGAAGCACCGGCUAACUCCGUGCCAGCAGCCGCGGUAAUACGGAGGGUGCAAGCGUUAAUCGGAAUUACUGGGCGUAAAGCGCACGCAGGCGGUCUGUCAAGUCGGAUGUGAAAUCCCCGGGCUCAACCUGGGAACUGCAUUCGAAACUGGCAGGCUAGAGUCUUGUAGAGGGGGGUAGAAUUCCAGGUGUAGCGGUGAAAUGCGUAGAGAUCUGGUGGAAUACCGGUGGCGAAGGCGGCCCCCUGAACAAAGACUGACGCUCAGGUGCGAAAGCGUAGGGAGCAAACAGGAUUAGAUACCCUAGUAGUC